AUGGGACCCUCCAGAAGAAACCUGCCCAGCAAUCCCAGCAAGCUUGCCCGCCAGCAGGAUGCCAGGAGAAACUGCCUCUACCUGCAAGAAAGGCGGCCGAUGACACUUGGGGAUGGGAGACCUUCGCUGGCACCGGGUGAGUGCGGAAUUUACUCCUCUUUUACACUCAGUAAUUGUCAGGUGGCUGCACUCGUUAUUUAUGUCCGCUGGUAUCAGCAUGGGGGGGAGCGGGGUUCCCGCAGAUCCCUGAGCACGGUGUGUCUUUUCGGUCACAGUUGCGCAUAAAAUAAUUAUGGGGGCUAAAAAAGAUUCCCUGCCACUACCUAUUCCGGAAGAAGUGAACCGCUUGUUCGAUCUCUGUUAUAUGACUGACGAUUUCAGUGUGGCGGGUAGGUAUCCGGCUUAGAUGGAUUCCGAAAAAUAUUAUUAUUUUUAUCUGAAGCUGCCUUUCCGAAAACGGCACAGGUUUCGGGUGUUGUGUAAAUAGUGCUAAUUUUCCUAAGUUCUCGGGAAAGUCAUCGCUGCCAAAAAUUCUGGAAGAGCGAGGAAAGAGUCCUUGUAAAAAGCCGUACUCAUAAAGCUGACUUCGGUCUUGCUGCUAGUGUAUCAGCAGGCAAAACCUUGCCCUCCGAAGUACAGAACUGAUCACUAGUGGUGCUCAUAUUCCUCUGAAAUGUUGAGGCACUUCUUUCGUCUUCCCACUGCCCGAAAUCGUGACCGUGUCCCAGAUAUACUGAGAUUUACUGUCGCAAACCGAAAUCUGGGGAUAGGAGCGGAAGGUUAAACCGGUGAUUUGCUAAACUUGAUUAUGCUUGCGGGGAGGAGGGGGUGGGGGAGAGGUAGGCGUGCGAGUGCGUGGGUAGGACCCCGGGGACGAGGCCCUGGGUGGACAGACUUGUGCUUGUUUUCAUGCCCCCGACGUGGCUACAGGCAUGUGAAUCGGGUCCCUCUCGGUGACUGAAUUAAACUAUCUUGCUAAGGCAUUUGUAAUCUUAUGAAAAUAAUUAAUUUUUAAUACACCAAUUUAAGUUUUCCAAGAUACCGUGAGUCACCUCAACACAACCAGGGCAAACGGCAAUGCCGUACUGAGUGGCUGAUUAUCUGCUUCGCACUGCAGCAAACGGCACAGCGCACUGUUCCUUUGUCGGGGCGCGGGGUGCGCUCCCACACGCACGCUCAGCACAGGCCGAGCGCACGCAGGGUUGCUUCGGAGCCCACCGGCGGCGCCUUGCCAGUCCGGCCCAAACCUGCCCAGGGCUCCCCUGGGUCCCGGAGGGGCACGGAC
rnacentral:lncRNA from 1 species